CGAUGGCGACCGGCGCACGGGUGAGUAACGCGUAUGCACCUGCCCGAUACCGGGGUAUAGCCCAUGGAAACGUGGAUUAACACCCCAUAGUCCUGCAUGGGUAAAUGUUCAAGGUAUCGGAUGGGCAUGCGUCCUAUUAGUUAGUUGGCGGGGUAACAGCCCACCAAGACGAUGAUAGGUAGGGGUUCUGAGAGGAAGGUCCCCCACAUUGGAACUGAGACACGGUCCAAACUCAUACGGGAGGCAGCAGUGAGGAAUAUUGGUCAAUGGACGAGAGUCUGAACCAGCCAAGUCGCGUGAGGGAAGACUGCCUAUGGGUUGUAAACCUCUUUUAUAAGGGAAGAAAAGUUCUACGUGUAGAAUGAUGCCUGUACCUUAUGAAUAAGGAUCGGCUAACUCCGUGCCAGCAGCCGCGGUAAUACGGAGGAUCCGAGCGUUAUCCGGAUUUAUUGGGUUUAAAGGGAGCGUAGAUGGAUGUUUAAGUCAGUUGUGAAAGUUUGCGGCUCAACCGUAAAAUUGCAGUUGAUACUGGAUAUCUUGAGUGCAGUUGAGGCAGGCGGAAUUCGUGGUGUAGCGGUGAAAUGCUUAGAUAUCACGAAGAACUCCGAUUGCGAAGGCAGCCUGCUAAGCUGCAACUGACAUUGAGGCUCGAAAGUGUG
rnacentral:rRNA from 1 species